CACUGACCCCGAGGGAGCCCCCGGCCCCGCCACCUUCCGCAAGGCGCUGAGAGUGCAGGAGCGGCCAGCGGGCCGAGCCAGAGCUCUUAGGGGCCGGGAGUGGUGAUGAGUGGUUCUGAAAACUUUUCUAAAGCUGGUGUAGGGACUUCUCCUAUGGAAAGCUCCAGUCUAAGAAAUAAACUGCAUCUCCUAGCCUCCCUUGCAGCCUGCUGUGGCCAUAGGACGAGUGCUCUGACCAGUGGGAUACCAGCUUUCAAGAACCUCCCUUGAAGACUGCUGCUGCUCUCAUUUUACCAGUUCUUCUCCGCUUAGUUCAUUCUGCCACGUGUAACAAGGAUGCAAUGACCACUAUCUUGGACCAUGAGGACAAGGACCGAUUACUAAGGAUGACAAAAAUGGAAAUGGGAGGUGUGUGGGCUUCUUAGAGCAGAACUGCCACACCAAACCCGGCCUCUCUAGAUCUGGAUUUUGUAUGAAAGAGAAACUUCUACUUAAGCUUCUUUUAAUGUUUUGUUACAGCAAAACUUGAUUAUAAAUAAUAAUAGUUUUGUGACCAACAUUAUAAUAUCUCUACUAAAAAUAAAUUAAGGAAUGAUAAUUAAAUUUAA